rnacentral:sRNA from 1 species
AAACACAGCCUGCCGAUCCCGGAGAAUGCCUGGUGGGGGUGCUGGGGGAAGAAGUCCAAUUUCAGCUGGGAAAAUGGGACAGGAGUCUUGGGAGUGGGUUUAUGCCUCAAAUUCCCUUAUGGCCAUAGUCCAUUGGCCCCUAGCCUCCUCCCCACUUUAAAGAUGAAGAGACUGAGGUUUAGAGAGAGGAACAGCUAGCUUGGCAGAGGCAACUGCUUAGGCAGUUGAGGAAAGUGAAUUUUGAAGAUUGCACGGGUCGACAAAGGACAGCCUAUUUUUCCCUCGACACCCGAUUCAAAGUGGGCACAGAUGGUGUGAUUACAGUCAAAAGGCCUCUACGGUUUCAUAACCCACAGAUCCAUUUCUUGGUCUACGCCUGGGACUCCACCUACAGAAAGUUUUCCACCAAAGUCACGCUGAAUACAGUGGGGCACCACCACCGCCCCCUGCCGCAUCAGGCCUCUGUUUCUGGAAUCCAAGCAGAAUUGCUCACAUUUCCCAACUCCUCUCCUGGCCUCAGAAGACGGAAGAGAGACUGGGUUAUUCCUCCCAUAAGCUGCCCAGAAAAUGAAAAAGGCCCGUUUCCUAAAAACCUGGUUCAGAUCAAAUCCAACAAAGACAAAGAAGGCAAGGUUUUCUACAGCAUCACUGGCCAAGGAGCUGACACACCCCCUGUUGGUGUCUUUAUUAUUGAAAGAGAAACAGGAUGGCUGAAGGUGACAGAGCCUCUGGAUAGAGAACGCAUUGCCACAUACACUCUCUUCUCUCAUGCUGUGUCAUCCAACGGGAACGCAGUUGAGGACCCAAUGGAGAUUUUGAUCACAGUGACCGAUCAGAAUGACAACAAGCCCGAAUUCACCCAGGAGGUCUUUAAGGGGUCUGUCAUGGAAGGUGCUCUUCCAGGAACCUCUGUGAUGGAGGUCACAGCCACAGACGCGGACGAUGAUGUGAACACCUACAAUGCUGCCAUCGCUUACACCAUCCUCAGCCAAGAUCCUGAGCUGCCUGACAAAAAUAUGUUCACCAUUAACAGGAACACAGGAGUCAUCAGUGUGGUCACCACUGGGCUGGACCGAGAGAGUUUCCCUACAUAUACCCUGGUGGUUCAGGCUGCUGACCUUCAAGGUGAGGGGUUAAGCACAACAGCGACAGCUGUGAUCACAGUCACGGACACCAACGAUAACCCUCCGGUCUUCAAUCCCACCACGUACAAGGGUCAGGUGCCUGAGAACGAGGCUAACGUCGUAAUCACCACACUGAAAGUGACUGAUGCUGAUGCCCCCAGUACCCCAGCAUGGGAGGCUGUAUACACCAUAUUGAAUGAUAAUGGUGGACAAUUUGUCGUCACCACAAAUCCAGUGAACAACGAUGGCAUUUUGAAAACAGCAAAGGGCUUGGAUUUUGAGGCCAAGCAGCAGUACAUUCUACACGUAGCAGUGACGAAUGUAGUGCCUUUUGAGGUCUCUCUCACCACCUCCACAGCCACUGUCACCGUGGAUGUGCUGGAUGUGAAUGAAGCCCCCAUCUUUGUGCCUCCUGAAAAGAGAGUGGAAGUGUCCGAGGACUUUGGCGUGGGCCAGGAAAUCACAUCCUACACUGCCUGGGAGCCAGACACAUUUAUGGAACAGAAAAUAACGUAUCGGAUUUGGAGAGACACUGCCAACUGGCUGGAGAUUAAUCCGGACACUGGUGCCAUUUCCACUCGGGCUGAGCUGGAUAGGGAGGAUGUUGAGCACGUGAAGAACAGCACAUACACAGCCCUCAUCAUAGCUACAGACAACGGUUCUCCAGUUGCUACUGGAACAGGGACACUUCUGCUGAUCCUGUCUGAUGUGAAUGACAAUGCCCCCAUACCAGAACCUCGAACUCUAUUCUUCUGUGAGAGGAAUCCAAAGCCUCAGGUCAUAAACAUCAUUGAUGCAGACCUUCCUCCCAAUACAUCUCCCUUCACAGCAGAACUAACACACGGGGCGAGUGCCAACUGGACCAUUCAGUACAACGACCCAACCCAAGAAUCUAUCAUUUUGAAGCCGAAGAUGGCCUUAGAGGUGGGUGACUACAAAAUCAAUCUCAAGCUCAUGGAUAACCAGAAUAAAGACCAAGUGACCACCUUAGAGGUCAGCGUGUGUGACUGUGAAGGGGUCGCCGGCGUCUGUAAGAAGGCACAGCCUAUCGAAGCAGGAUUGCAAAUUCCUGCCAUUCUGGGGAUUCUUGGAGGAAUUCUUGCUUUGCUAAUUCUGAUUCUGCUGCUCCUGCUGUUUCUUCGGAGGAGAGCGGUGGUCAAAGAGCCCUUACUGCCCCCAGAGGAUGACACCCGGGACAACGUUUAUUACUAUGACGAAGAAGGAGGCGGAGAAGAGGACCAGGACUUUGACUUGAGCCAGUUGCACAGGGGCCUGGACGCUCGGCCUGAAGUGACUCGUAAUGAUGUCGCGCCAACACUCAUGAGUGUCCCCCGGUACCUUCCCCGCCCUGCCAAUCCCGAUGAAAUUGGAAAUUUUAUUGAUGAAAACCUGAAGGCGGCUGAUACUGACCCCACAGCCCCGCCUUAUGAUUCUCUGCUCGUGUUUGACUAUGAAGGAAGCGGUUCCGAAGCUGCUAGUCUGAGCUCCCUGAACUCCUCAGAGUCAGACAAAGACCAGGACUAUGACUACUUGAACGAAUGGGGCAAUCGCUUCAAGAAGCUGGCAGACAUGUACGGAGGCGGCGAGGACGACUAGGGGACUCAAGAGAGGCGGGCCCUAGACCCGUGUGCUGGG